rnacentral:pre_miRNA from 1 species
ACAUUACUCCCUCCGUCCCAAAAUAAGUGUCUCAAGCAUAGUACAAAUUUGUACUAAAGUUAGUACAAAGUUGAGACAUUUAUUUUGGGACGGAGGGAGUAUAUU